AUUGAACGCUGGCGGCAGGCCUAACACAUGCAAGUCGAGCGGAUGAAGGGAGCUUGCUCCUGGAUUCAGCGGCGGACGGGUGAGUAAUGCCUAGGAAUCUGCCUGGUAGUGGGGGAUAGCGUCCGGAAACGGGCGCUAAUACCGCAUACGUCCUGAGGGAGAAAGUGGGGGAUCUUCGGACCUCACGCUAUCAGAUGAGCCUAGGUCGGAUUAGCUAGUUGGUGGGGUAAAGGCCUACCAAGGCGACGAUCCGUAACUGGUCUGAGAGGAUGAUCAGUCACACUGGAACUGAGACAUGGUCCAGACUCCUACGGGAGGCAGCAGUGGGGAAUAUUGGACAAUGGGCGAAAGCCUGAUCCAGCCAUGCCGCGUGUGUGAAGAAGGUCUUCGGAUUGUAAAGCACUUUAAGUUGGGAGGAAGGGCAGUAAGUUAAUACCUUGCUGUUUUGACGUUACCAACAGAAUAAGCACCGGCUAACUUCGUG
rnacentral:rRNA from 1 species